rnacentral:rRNA from 1 species
GACGAACGCUGGCGGCGUGCUUAACACAUGCAAGUCGAACGGAAAGGCCCUGCUUUUGUGGGGUGCUCGAGUGGCGAACGGGUGAGUAACACGUGAGUAACCUGCCCUUGACUUUGGGAUAACUUCAGGAAACUGGGGCUAAUACCGGAUAGGAGCUCCUGCUGCAUGGUGGGGGUUGGAAAGUUUCGGCGGUUGGGGAUGGACUCGCGGCUUAUCAGCUUGUUGGUGGGGUAGUGGCUUACCAAGGCUUUGACGGGUAGCCGGCCUGAGAGGGUGACCGGCCACAUUGGGACUGAGAUACGGCCCAGACUCCUACGGGAGGCAGCAGAGGGGAGUAUUGCACAAUGGGCGGAAGCCUGAUGCAGCAACGCCGCGUGCGGGAUGACGGCCUUCGGGUUGUAAACCGCUUUCGCCUGUGACGAAGCGUGAGUGACGGUAAUGGGUAAAGAAGCACCGGCUAACUACGUG